AAGCCUGUCCCAGUUCGGACUGGAGCUGCAACCCGACUCCACGAAGUUGGAUUCGCUAGUAAUCGCGCAUCAGCCAUGGCGCGGUGAAUACGUUCCCGGGCCUUGUACACACCGCCCGUCAAGCCAUGGGAGCCGGGGGGCGCCUGAAGUCCGGGACCGCGAGGACCGGCCUAGGGCGAAACUGGUAACUGGGGCUAAGUCGUAACAAGGUACC
rnacentral:rRNA from 1 species